UGGGGGAUAUUGCACAAUGGGGGAAACCCUGAUGCAGCGACGCCGCGUGAGUGAAGAAGUAUUUCGGUAUGUAAAGCUCUAUCAGCAGGGAAGAAAAGCUGACCGAAAGGUCAGCGGACAGUACCUGAAUAAGAAGCCCCGGCUAACUACGUGCC
rnacentral:rRNA from 1 species